GUUGAGUUGAGGUGUGCGUGCGUACCUGCGUCCGUGCGUGCGUGCGUGCGUCUGUGUGUCCGUGCCUUCGUGUGCGUGCGUGCCUGCCUGCCUGUGUGUGUCUGUGCGUGCCUGCCUGCCUGCGUGUGUCUGUGCGUGCCUGUGUGUGUCUGUGCUUGCCUCCCUGUGUCUGUGCAUGCCUGCCUGUGUCUGUGCGUGCCUGCCUGUGUUUGUGCGUGCCUGCCUGAGUCUGUGGGUGCCUGCCUGUGUCUGUAGGUGCCUACCUACGUGCAUACGUCUGUGUGUGCGUGCCUGCCUACGUGCAUUUCUGUGUGCGUGCGUGCGUCUGUGUGUGCGUGCGUGCGUGCGUGCCUGCGUCUGUCUGUGCGUGCCUGUUUGCGCGUGUCUGUGCCUGCCUGCCUGCGUCUGUCUGUGCAUGUGUGUCUGCCUGUGUCUGUGCGUGCGUGUUAUACCUGCAUCUCUGGCUUGUAGCUCUAUGCGUGCGUACCUGUGUCUGUACGUGCGUGCGUCUGUGAUUCCGUGCCUGCGUGUGCGUGCCUGCCUUCCUGCCUGCGUGUGUCUGUUCGUGCCUGCCUGUGUCUGUGCGUGCAUGCGUACAUCUGUGUGUGCGUGCCUGCCUACGUGCGUCUGUGUGUGCGUGCAUGCCUGCGUGCGUCUGUUUGUGCGUGCGUGCGUGCGUCUGUUUAUGCGUCUGUGCGUGCGUGCCUGCCUGCCUGCGUGCGUCUGUUUGUGCGUGCCUGCGUGCGUCUGUGUGUGCGUGCGUGCGUGCGUGCGUGCAUCUGUUUGUGCGUGCCUGCCUGCCCGCCUGCGUCUGUCUGUGCGUGCCCGCCUGCGUGUGUCUGUGCGUCCUUUUGGGCAGGGUUGUUGCGAAGAGAUUGUUGUUGACUGUGGCCAGUUAGCUCAGUUUGUUAGAGCAUGGUGCUAUUAUCGCCAAGGUCGUGUGUUUGAUCCCUGUACAGGCCAUUUUAGACAUUGAGCCCUGAUGAAGAAGAACCAUGUUCUGAUCUCCAUGA
rnacentral:lncRNA from 1 species